rnacentral:rRNA from 1 species
UCAAGAGUACGUGAAACUGCUUAGAGGUUAAGCCCGAUGAACCUGAAUAUCCGUUAUGGAAAAUUCAUCAUUAAUAUUAUGGUAUUUAUAAUAUCAUAAAAAUAGUGUGCAAUUUUUCCAUAUAAGGACAUUGUAAUCUGUUAAUGUAAUAAAUAUUUAUCAUAAGAUCAAUUACUUUAAGUUUAUUUAAAUUAGUUAUUUUCGGAUUUCUAACAUAAAAUAAAUGUAUUUGAUUUGAUAAAUCAUUGACAGAUUUAAUUAUAUAAUGUGCUCAAAUUUUUCGGAAUUUUACAAUGAUGAAUAAAUCUAUUGAUUUAAUCAUUUAUAUUGUAUGCGCUUUUAUGAUUAACAAUGCGAUAGAUUCAGGAUACCUUCGGGACCCGUCUUGAAACACGGACCAAGGAGUCUAACAUAUGUGCAAGUCAUUGGGUAUUUUUAAUAAAACCCAAUGGCAUAAUUAACUUAACUGUUUUAAAUGGGAUUAGUUUAUAUUUUAUUAUGAAAUAUUAAUUCAAUCCCGGGGCGUUCUAUACAGUUAUGCAUAAUAAUAUUUAUAUUAUUUAUGCCUCUAACUAGAGCGUACCUUGAGCAUAUAUGCUGUGACCCGAA